GGACAUGACAUAUAACUUGACUGAAAUGUUGGCUACACAUUUGGGUCAUGAUCCCAGAACUCAUAAAGAAAAUUAAAGGUUGACCCCCUCCACAAGAGAAUUAUCCCUGACUUGAUCCUGAAGAAGAAAUUCUGAGGGAUGCAACAGCUAAUGCUCUUCCCAUGGAAUUGAGUGGCUCCACCCCCAUGAAACAAAGUGGCUCUGCUCCAAAUGAUCAAAGUAGCUCCGCCUGUGGUAAAAAGAAGAGAUGGUCCCAUUCUGAACAGACUAUGCUGCAGGAAUAAAAUCCAUAGAUGUCUUAGGGGAAAUUGACAAGUGCAUAAAACAGACUUAAUCCAUUGUCAAAACAUUUGUGCCAAACUAUACAAAAGAUCUUUGGCUCACACUAGAACAAAACUCAAUAACAUGAAACUAGGUAAAUCUUG